GGAGAGGUGGCCGAGUGGUUGAUGGCACCGGUCUUGAAAACCGGCAUACCCGGAAGGGUAUCGGGGGUUCGAAUCCCUCCCUCUCCGCCA
rnacentral:tRNA from 1 species